rnacentral:lncRNA from 1 species
GAAACCCAAAACCAGCUUCGCAUAGGCGGCGACCCAGUUCACCGGUGGCCGACGGCUCGGUGGACCGGUGCUGCGGCGCCCGGUGGCUGGACGCGAGGCAUGUAAUGGAUCAACUCAGGGCCGAGGGGCACGCUCCGCCACCUUCCUCUGGCUCCGCAGCUCCCCGCGAGGGCGUGAAGCAGCAAUUCAUGGCCAGUCGACCCCCGGCGGUCGGGCGUGCGCCGGUGGACAGAAGGCGGAGACUAGGACAGCAGUAGAGGGGCGUCCUCUGCCGAGGUACAUCCUGCGAAAAUACUCUGCUGCUAAAUUUUCUAUGCGUAUUUACUAUUUAGACCUUGAGAUGUGCUCUGUUAUCCCAAGAAGAUUUCGUGAGGGAUUUUUGAGCGUGCUGUUUUGUGAUAGCAGUGGUUACUUACUCGUAUAGGUUAUACCCAAGGAUUUAGCAUGCCUCGAAUGCGUGAUGUUAUUGCCCCGGAAGCAAUGUAAAUUGUGGUAGAUAAAGUUGCAGUAAAUAAUUCGUUUUCCUGAAAAUAAUAAUAUAAUGGAACACCAACAAGAUGAGUUUCAGAUACAUUUAUAAUGCUUCAGUACUAGUCUCGCAAUUUUACACCUCCACCAACUGGAAUCACUCCUCACCCUAGAUUCUACUAGUAUAGAACUAUAUAUAAUGAUGACUCACACCUAGAUGAGUUUCUCUGGAAUGUUGCGAAACCUGAAUAGUAGCCUAAUCUCAACUCUGAGAUAAAUAAAUAAACCGAUAUAAAAACUGGAGUUGUACUAGCCGAAAUACCUUGACAAGACUAUCUGAUCAUACAACACCCCUACACCAAAAAACGCGCCGAAGGCAAUCGCGAAGGCGGCCUUGAAGCCAGUCUGUUUGGUUGACACAAUGUUGGCUGGACGCGCUUUAGCCGAAGCACAUCUGUGAAUGAGCAUAGCGCCACAGAGCUUGUUGUUCCCGUCGAAGCUGGAAGCCUGAAAUGUGUUAAACUGACCUCCAGAUGGAAUAGGGCCUUCUAGGUCAUUGUUAGAAAUGCUGAACGCUGAGAGGAACUGCAGGCUGUGAUAGGAGUCUGUGGGAUCGGGUAGACUAGGACUGACGGUGUCGUGAGGAGAUUACCUUCUCCUUGUCUCGAGGAGCUCCCAGUGCCGGUGGUGAACGGAUGGGAGCUUGGCGUAGAGGUCGAUGGUGAAGUGGCUGGUGGCGCUUCCCAUCGCUUCAGUGCCUCCUCUGGAUCGGACUAGGGUUAGGAGUGGGGAACAGUGGCGGCGACGAACCUCGUACUCUUUGCCCUGGUCCCCACCUCCUCUUUAUAGCACUGCGCGACAGGGGCCCACCAGCCUUGCUUGGGCUGGACGCCCCCGAUCAAGGCGUGGGUCAAGGGCCCAAUGAGCCGUUGGGCCCAUUGGAGGAGAGAUCAAUCUAACAUUCUCCCCCUUGAUCUCAACAUAUACUUUUAACUUUAUACUUUGAAAUAACUCUUUUCAAAGUACUCGUUCCAUCACAGAUUUGCAUGUAGAGCAUGUCUCAUCAUCACGGUUCAUUCCCGAUAGAAUCAACACCUACAACACACUCCUCUGUUUUGAAACAAAUUCUUUAACCUUGGGCCCUUUUAUUGUCCGGAAAUCUUAGACUAUACCCUAAAACCCAUGUCGAAUGUGUGUUCUCCGAACACACUGGGCGGUAAGACUUUAAUAAGCAGCUCUGCAAAUACUUGUCUGUUGCUUUCAUGCUCUAAGCAUUUCAACAUAAUUCCGGACUUUCUCCUUAACAACGUAUAACUCUGUGUCAAUGUGUUUGGCACCACACUUGACUCGUUGUCAUAGGAGCGAAUUACUUAAUGGUUAUUGUUGUUGUCAACCAUUAUCAACUCCGGGUACAUGUUUCCUUAACCUUUUUGCCUGUCCCUCAGCCUCAUAUCAUGUUGUACAUUAUCUUUACAUCAUAUUAACGAUAAUUGAUUCAUUCUUUAGAGUUUUUCCACACAAAAACUCCAAGUGUGAAAGUCAGCGACAAUUGUGGAUUUCGCUGUAUAUUUCACAAGUUCUAUUUCUGUAUUCACAACCUUUCGAGAACUCUUGCUCCUUUUAGCAUGAGGCCAAUAUUUUUGACUCCAUUCCAGUGAUCUAUAUCUGGACUGGACAUUACCAAAACAACCCGGUUACGUGAACUGUGUCACUGUAAUGUUAUACUUUUGCAUUCAUUAAGCUUCCAACAGCUGAAGCAUAUGGUAUCAUAUUCAUUUGGUCUAUUUGUAUUGACUUUUGGAACACUAAAGUUCCCAAAAUCAUUACCCUUUACUAUAAGAACAGGUGUAGGUUUUCUCGCAUGCAUACUUUAGAAACUUUCCUUAGCAUGCCCAUGCGACACCCCUAAUACCCCUUUUAUUCUUUUCUAGGUGAAUCUCGAUCCUUAUAAUGAGAGACAUUCUUUUGAACUUUGAGGACAAGAACUUCUUUUCCUCCUGCAGUCGAAUUAACAUCACUACUAACAAGCAGAAUGUUAUCCGCAUGUACAAGAUAUAGGAAAUGAAAUUCCCAUUCUAUAACUUUAUACAAACACAAUUGUCCUCUCAUUUUCUUUAACCCAAAACAACAUUUGAUUGCUUUAGUCCAUAAAAGACUUCUUCAGGCAGUAUCCCCUGUGUUCUUUAUUUUCAUCUGAUGUAACUCAGAUCAUAAUAUCUUUCAUCUGAUGUAACUCAGAUCAUGAUGUGCUACCAACACUCAUUGUAAUCUAUUCAGUGUAAAAUGCGCAAAAACCUUUCAAUUUUAGUCGUGUUUUACACCUUUACAUAUUUCCUUUGAAGUCACAUUGACCUUGUAGACUCUUUAUAGCCUAUUGUUUUGGCUCCAUUGGAAAUUACUCAUGAGUCCCGAACAUCGUCAGAAUUCACCAAUUUCAUUUCAUCUCACAUUGUCUCUUAUCAUUUAGAUAAGCAGACACUUCUUGAAGCUCGAUUGAGCGCUUUAAAUGAGGUGGGAUCAACCUCCAUUUGAAUUUCACUAACAUAGACUUUAUAGUAAUCAGAAGUAUCUGAUUUUCUCAUUCCUUAAGACCAUCUGUGUCUCAGGUACUGGCACUUCUUUCAUAUGGGGCUGUUGUUGCUCUAUCAUUGCCAAGAGGCAAAUUAAUUGUAUAGUCUUUCACUUCCAAGAGGCAAUAGGUUUUACCGGGACCUUUAUCACAAGAUCCAUGUUUAAUCAUUCCUCCUUUAUAGAGCUAACAACGGGUGUUGUAUAGGUCAUACAACAUGCUUCCCCAGAUACAAUCUAUUUGAGUCUUAGGUAUCUUCAUACCAUGCUCCCCCAGAUUACUCCAUCUUCACUAAGAAUGGCGUAUCUUUAAACUUUAUUUUUUGGGUUUACUCUGUUAAUACUUUCUUCUUUAUUUGGGUUUUCUUUUCUUGAGGGGUAUUAUUAUGAUCAUCGUACUCCCCAGACGAUCACAUUCUUCAUUAAUGGAUAUUUCAUAUUUCUUUCUCCCCCUCGAAAUGUGGCAAGAACUUUUCUGCCACAAUUUCGAAAAACCAUUCACAACUCUUGUGAAUUGAGGAAUUGAGUAUCUACUUCAUUUAUCUGAUUACUUCAUAUGUAAUGAAGUUAUCUGUUAACUGGUAUGGGAGUACUUUUCCCUUAUUCCAUUUCAGAAACUCAGCAGAGUUCUUUAUCAUUAGUACUUUUGCAAGUCACACUUGCAUAUCAUUCUUAUCUUUAGGUUCGUCUGUAACUUUUAUUCUCUUUUGAUUCAUUGAGUGCUUAAUGACCGUUAUACUUAAGGUGUACGGUCGAUACUAGGAAGGCAUAAUACCUACUCCAUACUUUUCUCCCAGAGUGGGACACAUUAAAAGCACAUGAGUCAUCAUAUCUUUCUCCUGUCAUACAGGAUAAGUCCUUCGCCAAAAUUUCUCCCGCCAUACAGGAUUUUUGACAUAAUACUAUGUCAACUUUACCCCGUUACGCAGGUAUUUUCCCAGACUUUUCCCGCCAUGCGGACUUUAUCAUAAUCAUCUUUUCCCGCUAUGCGGGUAAUUCCCUGUAAGGGACAUAAAUGCCAGAAUUGGCUCUUUUGACUGAAUAUUCAAUCAUCAAAUUUAGAAAUAAAUCCGAAUGCUCUUUGACACACAUGCUUGAUCUGACGUUGGUCAAAUUAAACACGCAUGUUGCUUGUUUCAACUCAAAUCAUGUUGACUGAAUAAUCUUCUUCAUAGAGAGUACAUGAAAGACAUUCGUCAACCAAGACUCUCAAUGAUCUAUCUCUUUUCUUUUGAAGACAUUAUUUAGAGAGAACAUACUCCCUCAUGUUAUGACCUUUCUUGGUCAUCUUUCAGGUCACAAGUACCCAGCCAUUUGCUUUCACGAACGAAAGCAUGGAAAACUUUUAGUCUGAGAAAGAUUAGCCAAUAAUCAACAAUAAUGAGCAUAAAAAUAACCCAUGUUAGUCUGGUUAAAAAAUAUGCACAUUAAACUUUUAAAACCCUUUAUAUUCUAAGUCACCGUUGGGCAGAAUUAGAAUAAAACAUCAUCCUUCUACAUUAAUUCCAUAUCAUCGUUGGGCGGAAAUGGAAAUAAUGCAUAUAACUCAUAAUCAAUAUGAUGAUAGUAUAAACUUUCUUUCAUAGUAUGUCUAUUAAACAACUUUGCUAAGAAAUAACCAUCAUCAACUUCAUUGCAGCGGGAACAAGAAAUGUACAUUUCUCUGGUUCAAUAGCAUUUCUUGAUCUUUAUCUGUUCUCCGAAAAUUUUGAUACAAAUUUUAUCAGAGAUUUAAGCUCUGAACAUAAGACUCAUAGAAUUAUAAUAUUGUCAUCAUCAACGUUGGUCAGAAAAUAACAAUACCAUAAUUAAACUUUAAUCAUAAUAGCAAAAGCUAUUUGAAUCUGAUUUCACCCACAAGUGAAAAAACUUCUCUCAAAAACUGUUCAUCCAAUUAAAUUUUCCGGUUGGUUCCAAUUUAAUUGGAGGAUAAAACUUUUUUCUUUCUUUGUAAAAGAGCACUAUUAAUUGAAGGGGAGCCUUGGCGCAGUGGUAAAGCUGCUGCCUUGUGACCAAGAGGUCACGGGUUCAAGUCCUGGAAACAGCCUCUUACAGAAAUGUAGGGAAAGGCUGCGUACUAUAGACCCAAAGUGGUCGGACCCUUCCCCGGACCCUGCGCAAGCGGAAGCUACAUGCACCGGGCUGCCCUUUGUAAAAGAGCACUAUUAAUUAUUUACGCAGCAGAAAAACAUGAAUAAAAAACUCAUGAACUUUUAAUUCUUUACAGAAACUUUUCUUUGACAAAAUAAAAAAAUUCAUGAACUUUAUUGUUUUCUUUACAAAAAAUUCAUGAACAUUUCUUUUUCUGAAAAUUUUCUAUUUCCAUUUUCAGAAACUUUUUCUGUUUACCAUUCAAAUUUAUUCCAAACAAACUUUCUUUGGAUUAAAUUUGAAUAGAAAAUACUAUGUGAAAUUUGCCAAAAACCGGACAAAUAAUAAUAAUAAAAAACUGCAGGGCAACCACAGUCGGAAAAAACCAACCCACGGCUUGGUGAGCGCCCGGCGUUUAUCUGCCGCCUGCGUGACGCUGACGCUGCCCAUUGGGAGCGAGCGACACGGCCCACGGUCCGUAGCAAGUGCAAGCGGUGGUGGCCUUGACCGAUGUCCAGUGCCCCUUUCGGCCCAAAAGGCCCACUGUGGCGCUGGGUUUUCUAUCUCUGCUGUUCAUCGCGAUCCGACGACCAAGCGUCGAUUUCGCUCGAACAAAACAGCUCGUCAGCGAAGCCGAGGGAAACCCUAAACCAUUCUUCCCCUUGCGCGCUGCUCGCCUCUUAUCUCCGCGGCAGCGCUCCAGGCCACCGGCGAGACUCCGUCUGGCCGCCGGCGGCAGGGUGGAUAACCACCGCAUCGCACGCGCCUCUGCUUCCUUCCCCCUUCGUUUCCUCCGCGCGCACCGCUUUGCCUGGCCUCCACCGCGGCAGAUCAGACCAGCGGCCCUGUUGCACCGCCGGCGGGCCGACUACGACGUCGGAUGCCACGGCCGCCCGAGCCUUUUCCCUUUCCUGUUUUUCUUUCUCCAUCCACUUCCUGCGACAGAGAGAGAGGCGCGGGCAGAGCCCUCCUCUGCUCCCCUGUGCGCCCGAGGGCGGCGGAGCGGACGGCUGCGGCACCGUGGCCUUCCCCCUCGCCGGCUGUGCGUCCACCUUGCGGUGAGCGCGCCGCCGUCGAGCGGUUUGGCCGCGGUGCUCUUUGCCCCUUUCGGGGUAGGUUCUUCGUCCCUGUCGCCUCGACUUGCCGAUGCGCGACGGGAUCGAGAGGAACAGGCGCGGCCGGAGUGGCGGCGCACUUUGCCGGCGGCCCAAGGCCUUCUCCGGUUUACUUUUUUGAUUUUCUUUGCUCUGCCCUGCUAGGGUUCUUUGGGGAGGGUCUUUUUAAUUUCUCUGUGUUCUAUUUCAACCGAAAAAUCCUAUACCCAACCUGUCUGAUACCAUUGAUAGGAGUCUGUGGGAUCGGGUAGACUAGGACUGACGGUGUCGUGAGGAGAUUACCUUCUCCUUGUCUCGAGGAGCUCCCAGUGCCGGUGGUGAACGGAUGGGAGCUUGGCGUAGAGGUCGAUGGUGAAGUGGCUGGUGGCGCUUCCCAUCGCUUCAGUGCCUCCUCUGGAUCGGACUAGGGUUAGGAGUGGGGAACAGUGGCGGCGACGAACCUCGUACUCUGUGCCCUGGUCCCCACCUCCUCUUUAUAGCACUGCGCGACAGGGGCCCACCAGCCUUGCUUGGGCUGGACGCCCCCGAUCAGGGCGUGGGUCAAGGGCCCAAUGAGCCGUUGGGCCCAUUGGAGGAGAGAUCAAUCUAACAGGCUGUUCAAUGCAGCUGGGAUUGUACCAGUAAGGUGGUUGUUAGAAAAAUCUAGUACCAGCAGGUUUGUGAGAUUGCAUACUGACAUUGGAAUCUGUCCUGUUAGGUCGUUGAAGCUCAAAUUUAGUGAAAGAAGAGAUUUCAGCUGGCCAAUCCCCAGAGGGAUCUCACCAGUUAAUUUAUUGUUGCUUAGAUCGAGCCUUAGCGCAGUGGUAAAGCUGUUGCCUUGUGACCAUGAGGUCACGGGUUCAAGUCCUGGAAACAGCCUCUUACAGAAAUGUAGGGAAAGGCUGCGUACAAUAGACCCAAAGUGGUCGGACCCUUCCCCAGACCCUGCGCAAGCGGGAGCUACAUGCACUGGGGCUGCCCAUUUUAGAUCCAUCACUUUGGUGAAAGCAAUGGGUAUGCGAUACUGAAGUGAUGGACCCUUAUAAACUGGUAGUUCGAAGAUCCUUGGGUCUAAACGGGCUUCAACCGUUUCUGACUUCAGCAUAUGCAUAUUCAUCAGUGCUGUUGGAAUUUCUCCGGUGAGACUGUUGUUUCUUAUGUCUAGAUAGAAGAGGAAGUUUAGGCUGCUGAUCCAGUUAGGUAUUGGUCCAGUAAGUUGAUUACAUCUAAAAAUAAUAUUUCCAAGUUUGCUAUCUUUGAUAACCAACGAGGAAUUUUUCCCAACAAUGAGCAACCACCUAUGGAAAGAAGCUGAAGUUUCUCAAAACCAUCAAGUGUGUCAUCCUCUGGCAUGAGCUCUCCACUGAAAUUUUGCCCGAGUAGCAGCGUGGUAAGGUUCCUGCAGCUCUUAAGGAUCCACAGUGCAUUUGUGAUGUUUCUGAAAGUAUUGUCAGCAAGCGAUAGGAAGUUGAGGUACUUCAGAUCGCCAAUUUGUGGUGAAAGCUGUCCUUCUAAAUGGUUUCCAGACACCCGCAGUGCAGUGAGAUUGCUGCAAGAGUAUAUGCUUUCUGGAACUGUGCCGGUGAAGUUGUUGAAGUAAAAUCUAAUGUCUUCAGAUUUGGCAGGUUGGAGAAAUUGACCUUGGCGAGCUGUCCACUGAAAUAGUUAUUCUUGAGGUCAAUUACUACGAGAUUCGUGCAGUUGCUUAGAGCUGAUGGCAGCUCCCCUGACAAUUUGUUGUUGUCCAAAUGGAACUCCUCCAAUUUCUUGAGCUGGCCUAUGGAAUCUGGAAUCUCGCCACUGAAGUUGUUCCCUCCAAGAUCAAGUGUUGCUAGAUUUCUGAGCUUGGUUAUGUGCGCACCAUCAAUAACUCCAUUUAAAUGAUUAUUACAAAAGGACAGGUAUUCCAACGAGGUUGCAUUGAAAAGUUCAUCUGGAAGUGUUCCAUUGAGGUUGUUGUACCCAGCCCUGAGGUCUCUCAGCUUGGAGCAAUCACCAAUCUCGUUGGGGAAUGUUGCCACUGAAUUUGUUUAAACACAGAUCAAGCACCACGAAGGAUGGUGAGCUGUUACAGAAAUGAGUUGGCAUCUGCCCUGUAAAGCUGUUAUUACUUGCGUUGAGUGCUAUCAGAUUCUCCAUUGCUUUCCAAGUGGCGGAUGGAAACUGUCCUGCAAAUAGGUUGCUUGAGAUGUUCAGUACCUGCAGUGGCCGGGCAGGGGUUGAAGAUGGCAGCUCGUGGAGUGUUCCAUUGAGCUGGUUAAAGCUGACAUCAAGGACGGUGAUGCUGCUGGACGACACCAAUUCCACCACCAGACAGCGAGUUGUGAGAGAGGUUAAGGUACUGCAGCCCGGUGAGGUUUCCAAGGGACUCCGAGAUGUGCCCCUCUAGGCCUUCUGAAGCGAGCAUGACACUGGUGAUCAUGCUAUCUUGCCUGCAGGUGAUCCCUCUCCACGUGCAGCAAUCCAUGCCAUCCUGCCAUGAGGCAGCGAGGCCACCGUCACUCGACAGCCCAGCAAGGAACUGGAGAAGGGAGGUCUUCUCAUGCUCCGUGCAGGAACUUGUGGGAGAGGCCAAUGAGAUUCCGUUGCCCCUUGCAGCCAUAGUCGUUACAAAGGAGUUUGGGUCAAGGAUUCCGUUGCUGUUGUUUUCGAUUGUACUGUCUUGGCGCCUCCACUUGGGCAUUAUUACGGACCUUGGACUGGGAUUUGUGGUUGCCAUGGAACCGAUCUGGGUGGGACUCGGUAUCGCGUGAGGACUGAGGAAUAGUAGUGACAGGCUGAUUGGUGACUUGGUGUGAUGCUUAUGUGGACGGUUGGACAUGGUCUGUCGAACAGAAUCCGGUUGUGAUUCGGGGAUUGAUGAUCUAGCUGAAUAGUAUUGUAUCCAGUUUUGAUGAUCUUUACUGUAUGUGUAGCUGCACGCCGACUCCUUCGUAGUUCUCUGAACGAGUAUUUGUCAUUGACCAUCAUUGUAGACGUGUUUGCAUUUAACCAAUAUAUGUUCACUUCACUUUGCUACAGAUAAUUUGAACGCAGUUUGCUCCAGCUGUACCGUCUUGCUCAGCCCCAGGACGUCAAGUCACCGACGAGUCCGUGGCAACACAGUCGACGAGCUGCCAAGUGAUGGAGAACGGUGUGUGACAUGGGUAUCCCCAGCUCGUGCUCGAGCGUCCUGAGCACGGAGCGACUUACAGCAGAUCAUCGCGGGUGCAGCUGCCGUCAGAGUCAGAGGCCAUGGCGGGGCCUUGGAGUACUGUCCCGACUCCCGACUCCCGACUUGUUCACUGCUGCAUCUUUCAGGGAGGGCUCAGGCAGACCGGGUAACGUGUGAAGACUUGGAGUAGUAGCCGGAUAACUGGCUGUGAAUUGUGAUAGGUUAGUUGCUUGCCAGUUAGCUAAAUACUCGGUCUGAAGAAUUUGUAUUUACUUGGGGGUGAUAGUUCAGACGUCCGAAUUUUCAGAUGGUGUCGUUUUGACGCUCUUCAUGGAAGCAGCCUAUGAUUUUCUUCACAGUUUGUUCAUCUGUCGAUGAUCAAUUUUUUUUUCUUUGAGGCAAAUGAUCGAUUCUUGUGAUUCGAUUCCAAGGGAGAGGAAACAACAAGUCGCU